GAUGAACGCUAGCGAUAGGCUUAACACAUGCAAGUCGAGGGGCAGCAUGGUCUUAGCUUGCUAAGACUGAUGGCGACCGGCGCACGGGUGCGUAACGCGUAUGCAACUUGCCUCACAGAGGGGGAUAACCCGUCGAAAGACGGACUAAUACCGCGUACACUCCAUCUUGGGCAUCCAAGGUAGAGGAAAUGAAAUUCGCUGUGAGAUAGGCAUGCGUCCCAUUAGCUAGUUGGUGAGGUAACGGCUCACCAAGGCGACGAUGGGUAGGGGAACUGAGAGGUUGAACCCCCACACUGGUACUGAGACACGGACCAGACUACUACGGGAGGCAGCAGUGAGGAAUAUUGGUCAAUGGGCGAGAGCCUGAACCAGCCAAGUCGCGUGAAGGAUGACUGUCUUAUGGAUUGUAAACUUCUUUUAUACGGGAAUAACAAGAGUCACGUGUGACUCCCUGCAUGUACCGUAUGAAUAAGCAUCGGCUAACUCCGUG
rnacentral:rRNA from 1 species